GCAGCGACCAAAUUUUAGCCCUAGGCAUUAAAACUAAACGGUUGAAACCUAAUCAACAUGGCGGUAGUUGAAAUAUUCAGGGGAACUUACUGAGUAAAUGAUACCCAACAAGAAAAAGUACCAUAUUUUAAAUUUUACAUACCGUCGUCGGCAGAUCUGCUAAAAUAGUAGAUCAAACAAUAGAAAUAAAAGGACAGAUCAAGGUGUAGACAAUAAUAAGGUUUUAGCGAGUUACUAUAACUGUUAAUUUCAUGAAACAACUAUAAGGUUGCUAUUUGUAGGACUUGAAAGUAAUGUAUAUUAAGUAUGUUGCAUGAAUAUCACUUCAACUGUGUACAA
rnacentral:rRNA from 1 species